rnacentral:rRNA from 1 species
AGAAUCAACGCUGGCGGCGUGCCUAACACAUGCAAGUCGAACGAGAAAGUGGAGCAAUCCACGAGUAAAGUGGCGCACGGGUGAGUAACACGUGACUACCUACCCUUGAGUGGGGGAUAACCUAGGGAAACCUGGGCUAAUACCGCAUAACACCUACGGGUCAAAGGAGCAAUUCGCUUAAGGAGGGGGUCGCGGCCGAUUAGUUAGUUGGCGGGGUAAUGGCCCACCAAGACGAUGAUCGGUAUCCGGCCUGAGAGGGCGCACGGACACACUGGAACUGAAACACGGUCCAGACUCCUACGGGAGGCAGCAGUGGGGAAUUUUGCGCAAUGGGGGAAACCCUGACGCAGCAACGCCGCGUGGAGGAUGAAGUCCCUUGGGACGUAAACUCCUUUCGAUCGGGACGAUUAUGACGGUACCGGAAGAAGAAGCCCGGCUAACUUCGCGCCAGCAGCCGC